ensembl:lncRNA LINC00970 long intergenic non-protein coding RNA 970
GGAGAGCAGGAAUGGCAGGAGAGCGGUGAGAGACCUCCGUCCCAGUGAGGAUGACAUGUUCUAACUCAGGAAAUGAAUAGAUGCUCUUGCGAUUGAAGAAAAAUCUACGCUGGAGGCAGACAGGCUGGCAGCCAGCUCUUGCUGAUGGUGAGGAGCCUCAUUAUCUUAAGACAACACACAGUGGAGAUGUGCUUUACGUAAUUGGCCUGCCCUGUGAAAACCCCUGGCUGUUUUUUCAGAUAAGGAGACUGAAGCAUCUAGAGUUGGAGUAAUUUCCACAAGAUCACAGAGGCAAGAUUUCACUCUGUCACCCAGACUGGAGUGCAGUGGCACAAACAUAGCUCACUGAAGCCUCAAACUCCUGGGCUCAAGAGAUCCUUCUGCUUCAGCCUCCUGAGUAGCUGGGACUUCAGAAUCCCAGUCCUCUCUCUCUCACUGACCCCGAAGAUAAGCAUUGGAAAGGGGAGCUUUGGGGAAAUGAAUCUGCCCUGUCAUCUGCGUAUAGAGCUAAUCUUAAAUCCCAACUGCCAAAUGGAUCCUGAGGUGUCAGAAACUCUCCCGAGAUAAGGGGGCUUCUAGCAACCAUCUGCAUUCUGGACCCAGCCGAAGAAGGAGGAGGAUAAGGAGAGAGAAAAGAAGAAUAAGAGGUAGAAGAAAAAGAAGAAUCAUGGAGACUUUUGAAUGCUCUUUGUCAGAAUCUCCAAAAUAUCUCAAGUCCAUUAUCUACUAGGAGUAUUGGAAUCCAGGUGUUUCACACAUGAGGAGGUUGCCCUUGCAUGGCUAGCAGAUGGCAGACGGAGGACCUGAGCCAGCCAGCCUGAUUCCACAGUGCUGUGGGUGAUAUGAAAUGCUGAUGUUAUUUUUGUUCCUGGAUAAAGCCAUAGUACCAGACGUGCUCCAACAAUGGGCUGGUGGCAGGAUUCCAGAGCCGCUACUUCGAGUCAGUGCUGGAUCGGGAGUGGCAGUUUUACUGUUGUCGCUACAGCAAGAGGUGCCCAUAUUCCUGCUGGCUAACAACAGAAUAUCCAGGUCACUAUGGUGAGGAAAUGGACAUGAUUUCCUACAAUUAUGAUUACUAUAUCCGAGGAGCAACAACCACUUUCUCUGCAGUGGAAAGGGAUCGCCAGUGGAAGUUCAUAAUGUGCCGGAUGACUGAAUACGACUGUGAAUUUGCAAAUGUUUAGAUUUGCCACAUACCAAAUCUGGGUGAAAGGAAAGGGGCCGGGGACAGGAGGGUGUCCACAUAUGUUAACAUCAGUUGGAUCUCCUAUAGAAGUUUCUGCUGCUCUCUUUCCUUCUCCCUGAGCUGGUAACUGCAAUGCCAACUUCCUGGGCCUUUCUGACUAGUAUCACACUUCUAAUAAAAUCCACAAUUAAA